rnacentral:pre_miRNA from 1 species
UAACUACUCCCUUCGUCCGAAAUUAGAUGACGCUCAAACGGAUGUAUUUAGGUGCAUUUUAGUGCUUGAUACAUCCAUUUGCGCGUCAACUAAUUCCGAACGAAGGAAGUAUUUA